CUGAGACAGCCUAAGGAAAAGGUCUGGUCAAGACUUGCUCUUGAGAAAAGACUUAAAUCUUUCUCCUGGUGACUGGAUACCCUUCCCCCUAAUUCCCAAUUGAAGUGGCCAGCUUGAGAAGACACAAAGCAGCUGACAAGAUCACCUCACAGUUCCUGGUACCCUGGGUUAGUCUGAAUCUCUCAGGGGCCCAAGGCAGCCAAGGCCUGGGUUCCCCAAAAUGAGGAGGAGGAAGGGAUAGCUAGAAUAGUAACACAUUUCCCCUCUUUCUUCACAAACCCCUCCUGCAGUCAUUUCCCUGUGUUAUCCCAAUUGAUCAGUUAGAAUAAAGUUGUUGUCUUCCCCAACUGAUUCUAGUGUGAGUGGAGAAACAGUUCCAGCUUGAGGGGGGAAAGUAACUUUCUCUCUCUGAGGAAGAAGCUCUAUCUAUCAUAGUAUUAGAGGGAAGUCAAGAGGCAGUUUGGCUGGUACCAUCCAUAGUAAACUCUAAAAUGAAAGACAAGAUGUGCUUGUGGAAUGACAUUGGAAGCCAUCCUCUACUUCCUUUUGCAUUGCAUCAUUAACAC
rnacentral:lncRNA from 1 species